AGUUGGUCCCAGUGCAGUGGUAUUUACAACUAAUGGAUCACAACCAGUUACAGGCUUAUUUGUUCCUUCUCCACCCUCAUUGCUUCACUUGACUAGCCUGAA
ensembl:misc_RNA Y_RNA Y RNA